GACGUAGGGGGCAAGCGUUGUCCGGAGUUACUGGGCGUAAAGGGCACGCAGGCGGCCGCGCGCGUUUUCGGUGCCAGCUCCUCGCCUAACGAGGAGAGUGCCGGGAAGACGGCGCGGCUUGAGGGCCUCAGAGGAACCUGGAAUUCCGGGUGGAGUGGUGAAAUGCGUAGAGAUCCGGAGGAACACCAAAGGCGAAGGCAGGGUUCUGGGAGGCGACUGACGCUGAGGUGCGAAAGCCAGGGGAG
rnacentral:rRNA from 1 species